rnacentral:rRNA from 1 species
AUUCCAGCUCCAAUAUUUUUUUUUAUUGUUGUUGUGGUUCCCCCUCUUUUCGUUUUCUCUCUUCGGUCUGCGGGCGGUUCGCUUCAGAGCGCUACUGCCCUAUAGACCGUAGUUUUGCCAGAGGUCUCAGGGUGCUCUUAACCGAGUGUCUUGCGAUGCUGGCAGGUUUACUUUGAAAAAAUUAGAGUGCUCAAAGCAGGCUUUUACGCCUGAAUAUUCGUGCAUGGAAUAAUAGAAUAGGAAGUCGUUUCUAUUUUGUUGGUUUUCGGAAAUCGACUUAAUGAUUAAUAGGGACAGUCGGGGGCAUUUGUAUUCAAACGACAGAGGUGAAAUUCUUGGACCGUUUGAAGACAAACUACUGCGAAAGCAUUUGCCAAGAAUGUUUUCAUUA